rnacentral:rRNA from 1 species
AUGGGUGGCGGCGCUACUGCGUUGGCGCAUGGUGAUGGGCGUCGGUUUGGCGGUCGGUUCCGUUCGGUUGGGCGGUUGGGGUUGGACUGCGGGAGAAAUCCCUGCCGGCUUCGGCCCCGACGCGGUGACACCUGCGGGUGCCACCAUUCCUCCCUGGAGGGUGUCGGUGGUAUCCACCCCCCACCUCCCUCCGCGUGCCCGGGGAAACCUGAGGACUCGUCCGCGCAGCAGCGUCGUCGGCGUCGCAUCCCUUCUUGGAGGUGCUGCUUGGUACGCGGCGGAUCGGAGCCUCGGUCUGUGGUGUUUUGUUUCCGGUGGGCGCCGCGGUGGCGGGUCAUCCGCGCUUUGCCAAGCUGUCGUGGUUGGCAUUUGUUUCUUCUUCUUUUUCUCUUGGUGUGUUGUGCUGCUCGCCACAGUGUUAUCUGUACUCGGUGUUGGUUGCUUUGGAAUACAAAGCGGGGAGAAACCCUUUUUCGGUAA